rnacentral:tRNA from 3 species
GCCGGCUUAGCUCAGCUGGUAGAGCAGCGGUUUUGUAAACCGAAGGUCGGGGGUUCGAGUCCCUCAGCCGGCGCCA